rnacentral:rRNA from 1 species
UGGGGAAUAUUGCACAAUGGGGGGAACCCUGAUGCAGCGACGCCGCGUGAGUGAAGAAGUAUUUCGGUAUGUAAAGCUCUAUCAGCAGGGAAGAUAAUGACGGUACCUGACUAAGAAGCCCCGGCUAACUACGUGCCAGCAGCCGCGGUAAUACGUAGGGGGCAAGCGUUAUCCGGAUUUACUGGGUGUAAAGGGUGCGUAGGUGGCAGGGCAAGUCAGAUGUGAAAGCCCGGGGCCCAACCCCGGUACUGCAUUUGAAACUGUCCGGCUGGAGUGCAGGAGAGGUAAGCGGAAUUCCUAGUGUAGCGGUGAAAUGCGUAGAUAUUAGGAGGAACACCAGUGGCGAAGGCGGCUUACUGGACUGUAACUGACACUGAGGCACGAAAGCGUGGGGAGCAAACAGG